AGACUAUGAUAAGGACAACGUUGAAAUAAUUCUUUGUAUCUUUCCCAAGCUUCGUACAAUGAUUAAGAAUCUUGUUGCAUAAAUGAUGUGAUAUCAUUCCUCAUUU
rnacentral:snoRNA from 1 species